GAUAAUUGGGAAAACCGAACAAAGUAAUGUUGGCGUUAAUAAUUUUAUAAUUUGAAAUUUUUUCCAAAUUUUUUUUCUAUUAGAAAUAAGUAUAUGAACAAAUAGAACUGGAAUCGAUUGUUGUUUGAUUAGAAAAAUUGCUGCGACCUAUUCCGCGUUUGAGUUUCGGGUAAUUUCCAACUACAUACCAUGUACAUAAUAAAUUGAUCGAGUCCAUUACAUUGCUGUAAGUAGUAAAAUUCAAAAAUGAAUACAAACGAAAAAGUUAUAGUUUUAUUUAAAUGAGAAACGAACAAACAAACAAACAAACAAAAAAAAAAAAAAAAUAAAGGCCAAAACAAAAACGUUAACUCGAUUUAAAUAACCAAUUAAUUAAUUAAUUUAAAAAAGAAUUUUGUUAAUUUGGAAAACGAAGUGGGUACCGCUGGAAAAUGUAUUAAUGGACUCGUCAUGUACGAAAGAAAAAAAACACAAGAAAUGUUAAAAUUAACUUCGUCUAAACUUUGUUUGUUAAUCCUUCGCGGGGUUUCGGAAAAUAUUAUAAAAUAUUUGGGUGUGUGUGUGUUUAAAGUUUUUCCUCCGCGACAAAACGUAUAUUAUUCCGUGGCACGAAAUCCGUCGUGUAUACCGAACGCAAAGUCGAAAGGAUAAAAUAUAUAAUAUUUCAAAGACGACGGUAAUUUAGCGCCGUUAUCGUGAUCGGGCGGCAUUUGUUAUACGCGUCAGGCGAUUCGCUGGAAUACGUGUAUAUAUAUAGAAGAAGAAGAAGAAAAAAAAAAGUAUAAAAAAUUUGAAAAAUAAUAGCAAGAAAAAGAAAUACGCCAAAGUUAUAAUUAUAAUAAUGACCCGACGAAUCGGGUCAACCGCUCGGUCACGCAGACACGGUACCCGUAUAAAAAUAAUAAGCCGCCUAAUAAUGUUCCGCGUGCCGAGAUAUUGUUUUCGUUCUUACGGCAAUUCCCGCGCGGUGAAAAUAAAAAAAAAAAAAAAAAAAAAAA